AUGGCACGGCCUGGCUGCCGAGACAAGUGUGGCAACGUCAGCAUCCCGUACCCAUUCGGCACUGGAAAUGGAUGCUUCCAAGAACCCUUCAGUGUCACAUGCAACGUGAGCGGGGCAUAUCUGGCCUCCACCAAAGUAAGGAUACUGGACAUCAAUCUUACUCUAGGUGAGAUUCGCGUUCAGAACCCAUACAUAGCAUGGCAAUGCAACCAUACCAAUGGAACCAAUAGUACUAGUGGUGAUUUGGAAGGCCUACGUCUUGAUCCUUUUCAUAAGCUUUCCUACACCAAGAACAAGUUGACAUCACUCGGUUGUGCUACACUUGCAAUUGUCGUAGGAGGCACCAAGGGCAAGAACCAGCUUGAAUACCCCACUGUCAACUCAUGCUUUUCAUACUGUACUGAUGCAAGUAAUGUGGAUAAUAGCUCUGGGUGCGCUGGAAUGGGUUGCUGUCAGUCCUCCUUCCCAGGAAAUGUCAGUUCCGUUAACACCACAUCUGAACCAGUACCAGAUAUAUACGACUCAACCAUCCAGUCUUUCAGCCCGUGCAGCUACUCUUUCGUUGUUGAGGAGGAGUGGUUCAAGUUCGAUCCUUCAUAUGCUAGCUCUACUGAUUUCGCAAGUAAGUAUGCAGAUGGAGUUCCUGUGGUACUUGAUUGGGUUGCUGGUAAUGGAAGUUGUUCUGAAACCAGCAAGAUGGGAUCACAGUAUGCCUGCCAAGCCAUGAACAGUGAAUGCAUUGAUGUGUCUAAUGGCCCCGGUUACCACUGCAACUGCUCUCAAAGUUAUGAGGGCAAUCCCUAUCUGCAAGGAGGGUGCAAAGACAUCAAUGAGUGCGGACCUCCAAAUCAGUCCUUGUAUCCUUGCAAAGGUAAUUGCAUAAACACCGACGGUAGCUACACCUGUUCAUGCCCAUCAGGAUUCAGGAGCGAUGAUCCAAGGAGCAUACCCUGCGUUCGAGCUGACCCAAACAAAGCACUGAAGGUGGUCUUAGGGCUUAUCCGUCAGUGUUGUCUUCCUCAUGGUUUUUAUCUUCGCUCUAUGGGCUGAGUAUCAGAAAAGAAACUGGCGAAAGAGAAGGAAAGAUUCUUUGAUCAGAAUAGUGGUCAGAUAUUAUAUCAGCAAAUUAUGUCAAAACAAGUCGAUACUUUGAGGAUAUUCACGCAAGAAGAUCUGAAGAAGGCUACAAACGAUUUUGACGAGAGCAGAGAACUGGGCAAGGGGGGUCAUGGCACUGUCUACAAGGGCAUUCUCAAGGAUAACAGGGUAGUGGCUGUGAAACGCUCGAAGAUCGUGCAGGAGAUAAUUAUACUUUCACAGACCAACCACCGGAAUGUGGUCAGGCUUCUAGGGUGCUGCUUAAAGGUGGAGGUCCCCAUACUGGUCUACGAGUUCAUCUCGAACGGCACUCUCUUUGAGUUCAUCCAUGGUAACCACGGAAGUCCACCUCCCUCGCUGGACACCCGUCUCAGGAUCGCUCAAGAAUCGGCAGAAGCACUGGCCUAUCUGCCUCUGUCCACUAACCACCAUAUUUUCCACGGAGAUGUCAAGUCCAUGAACAUUCUCUUGGACGACAACUACAUGGCGAAGGUGACGGACUUUGGGGCGUCGAGGAUGCUCCCCAAGGAUGAGUCCCAGUUCAUGACGCUGGUGAAGGGCACCCUGGGAUAUCUAGACCCCGAGUACCUGCAGGAGCGGCAGCUCACGGAGAAGAGCGACGUCUACAGUUUCGGCGUCGUGCUGCUGGAGCUGAUCACUGGGAAGACGGCGAUCUAUCGCGAUGGCCUGAAGGAAGGCAAGAGCCUCGUGUCUUCCUUCCUGCUCGCGAUGAAGAAUGAGAGCCUCGAGGGCAUCCUGGACCCGAGCAUCGUGCGUGCGGGGAUGGGGACGCUGGUGCGAGAAGUCGCCGAGCUCGGGCGGAUGUGCUUGGGACCCAGGGGCGAAGACAGGCCUUCCAUGACCGAGGUGGCCGACAAGCUAAAGGCUAUGCGAAGCGCCUGGAGGGAGAAACUGGCGCCGGGGCAUGCCAAAACAGAGUGCUUGGUUGUGUGCUCGUCGCCUGCGGCUCUGGCGCCGUGGUAUCCCCCGUCUCCGGGGUCCUCGGGGGAGCUGUACAUGUCUGGGAUAGGUAUAGAGACGCCCAGAUGA
rnacentral:rRNA from 1 species